UGGCCUUACAAGUAAGAACCCACCUUUGAG
rnacentral:piRNA from 1 species